rnacentral:tRNA from 1 species
AAGCCCCGGAGCUCUUUAGGAGCUCUUUUUCAAACUUGCAUUUUGACGUGGUCCACUUCGGGGCU